GGGCUUCCCAGGAUCAGCUGGCAUGCGUGGAAGACCAGGACGCAUGGGUGAAAUGGGUGUGGCUGGUGUGAGAGGUCUGACUGGACUCAAAGGGAAUCAGGGACCCCAAGUAAGUGUGUUUUUUUUUUUUUUACAUUUAAUUUUCCUCAUUUUAUCCAUUUAAUCCAUCUGUUAAUCCGUCAUUUCUUUAAUUUGUAUGUGGUUGCUGCUCCAGGGUCCAAACGGACAAGCUGGCGAAGCAGGCCCAUCUGGACCAUCAGGUCGACAGGGAGACCAUGGAUCCAAAGGAGAAAUUGGUCCUCCGGGAUCGCCAGGGCUCCCAGGCUCAGAUGGCCUCAUGGGAAAACCAGGACCGAGAGGAGAGUCUGGACCACAAGGGCCCACAGGACCGCUAGGACUUCCAGGGAAUGCGGGAAUAACGGGUUCUAGUGGAUUAUCAGGACCCAUUGGGGACAUAGGAGAGGAGGUGAGUUUGAUUAAUUGAGUUCACAUUCUGUU
rnacentral:lncRNA from 1 species